rnacentral:lncRNA from 1 species
UGGUGUUGAAUUUAUGAUUGUACAAGAAGAAUAAGUACAAUAAUGAUAGAAUUUGUUUUCAAUUUGAUAAAUUCACCAAUAAACGUCUAGCAAAUAUUGACUUGAAAAAAAUCGUCAAUCAAAAUAUUAUUCGAUAAGAAUGCUUUCAGAAAUAGUUUGGAGAUUUCUACCAUUCACUUUCUUCUUCAUUGCAUUUGAUUUCUUUAUUCCACUCUGAAUUUGGUAAAAGGGGGUGGGGGUGGCGGCUAAUGGAAUGGUGGUAAUGGGUGAGAUGAAAUUCAUAAUUUGAAUUAGAAGAUUUGUUUAGAUUGAAGUGUGGUGAAAAAUAACAUGGUAUUGAUAAUAUAAUGUUGUCUUAAAGAAUCUUAAUUUUUUUGAUAUUAGAUUCUUAAUUCUUAAAAUUUUGACAAGAUUUUGAAAAAAUUGGGCAAUGAAAAAGGAGAAAAGGUUGAGGAUUUACAUGGGGAGGAAAAUGGAGGAAGGUAAAGAAGUGGUCAAAUAGUGGAGAUGGUGGAGAUGACGUUGGCGGCGGCAGCUGCAUUGGUGGGUGGUGGUGGAGAGAUUUGUGUAUGGUGAAAGGAAGAAGAGAGAAAAUUAAUAAAUCUAUAUAUAUAUAUAUAAUAUUCAAUAUAUAAAAGAAACAUUAAAAAUAAAGUUUCAAUAUUUUUUUGGUGCUCACUCUCUUAAAGAGAGUAAAACACACUCUCUUUGCCAUAUCAUCCCUUAGGGGUGUUAUAAUUUCAGUUUUAAAUUAUUCAGAGAGGUCAUAGGACCCCCAUAAUGUUCAGUAUGCUCAACUGUAAAUUUAGGCAAAGUACAAGUAUUUUUCGGACUAUUAUCUCUUAUUAUUUUCUAAACUCAUUUUGGGACAAAGAAAGGGCAAACUAGGACAAAUUUCAUUAGAAAUUCAUUAUUUGGCUCAUUAAGGUAAGUAAUCCAUCCCUGUUAACUUGUAAUUGAUGAUUAAGCUUUAGAAUCUUUAAUUUAUGGAGUUCAGGGAGGGUUUCAAGGAUAAAUUUGGUAAAUUACUAGUGCAGGGGGGAAUUAAGGGAUAAUUUAAUCAUUUUAGUUUGACUAUUACUUAAUUACCCUUGCUUUUCAUUAAUUCCCUUAUUUAUCCGUGAAAUUGGUAUUUUUAGGUGAAUUACAAUAGAAAAUACCUAGAAUGGGAAGGAAAUGAUCAUGAACUGGGCCUUAGGAGUUGGGUGUGAUUAUGAAUCCUGACAUGUUAGGUCAUUUCUUGAUUGUGUAUUUAUAUGCAUGUUUUAGACCACGAGCAAGAGGGAACCGCACGGAAAGGCAAGGAUCCGGCUUAGAGAGUUGUGAAAGCUUGACUCGAGAUAGG